rnacentral:rRNA from 1 species
UACGAGGGGGGCAAGCGUUGUUCGGAAUUAUUGGGCGUAAAGGGUGCGUAGGCGGUUUGGUAAGUCUUAUGUGAAAUCUACAGGCUCAACUUGUAGUCUGCAUGAGAAACUGCCGGGCUUGAGUAUGGGAGAGGUGAGUGGAAUUCCUGGUGUAGCGGUGAAAUGCGUAGAUAUCAGGAGGAACACCUGUGGCGAAAGCGGCUCACUGGACCAUAACUGACGCUGAUGCACGAAAGCUAGGGGAGCAAGCAGG